GAACUUUCUCAUCUAACACCUGUUCAAGUCGGAGGAUGCUGAUUAAUUCAUGAUGGAAAGGUAUCAAUUUCACAGCCCAGACUUCUACAUUCUUGAAAUGCUGUUCUCAUGGGAGACAUUAAAUAAGCUUUGAAAUAACUGACCUUGUAUUGAAGACAGCAUAACCCCCAAGAGGAAAGGAGCUUGGAGCCCUGAAUCAGAGUAGAAGACAGGCUGAACACCAGCCUUGGACUGUUGUGUGAAUGAAAAACAAGUUUUGAGAUUUGUGUGGUUUACUUAUUAUAGUUACUGUUAUUAUUAAAGUUUUUCACUGCUU
rnacentral:antisense_RNA from 1 species